rnacentral:rRNA from 1 species
CACGUAGGGGGCGAGCGUUGUCCGGAUUUAUUGGGCGUAAAGAGCUCGUAGGCGGUGUGUCGCGUCGGCCGUGAAAACCUGCAGCUUAACUGUGGGCUUGCGGUCGAUACGGGCAUCACUGGAGUUCGGCAGGGGAGACUGGAAUUCCUGGUGUAGCGGUGAAAUGCGUAGAUAUCGGGAGGAACAUCAGUGGCGAAGGCGGCCUUCUGGUCCAGUACUGACACUCAAGUGCGAAAGCGUGGGGAGCAAACAGG